rnacentral:lncRNA from 1 species
CAUUAGAAGUCGGGAGUUAGGUGGCUGCCAUGCUCGAACUACAUCACCUAAUCGCCAAAAAGUAAAGACCCUAGAAUGCAAAGACAAAAAACUAAAACCCAGGUCUUUUGAAAAGGAUUAAAACCUAAAUCUGAUUGUAAUGUCCUUUUUAGUGCAAUUUUAGAACAUCAAAAUCCAUAUAUAAAGUAGCAGAGGUCAAUAGAUCAUUCUGCAUAAUAAUGGCUCACCAUUGCCAUUAUUGCACCAGUGGGCAUAUAUUAGCUUAAGCACACACAAAUAUCCGGGUAAGUUACAUAACUGCUGUGGAGCUACAUCACUGACCUUUAUACCAGAUGGACUCUCUAAGUUUGUAAAUUUUGGUGCCAAAGUUGUGAAAGAACACCCUCCUCCGGGUAAGUGAGGCAACCCAUUAUUUCGUUACGUCACAUUGCCCCCACGUACUUAACUCAGAACACCACCCACAACCAUGACCAGAAAAAGAAUCUAUAAUUUAAAAAAAAAAAAAAAGAUUCACACAGAAACAAAUAAAUAUAGAUUUGAGAAAAUUUAACACAUAAAAACAAACAAAUAUAGAUCUAAGAAAAAAACUAUCAAAUAUGUGAGUAUGAUUUCAAUUUGUCUGACUUUCCUUAAUUGUAACAAAAGUUCAUAUUUAGCCAAAAUAUAAAAGGUAAUCUAAAAAAAUAAAGCAAAGUAAAAAAUGGGCCAAGGAAGAAAAUAGUUAUAAUCAAUGAAAGCAAAAUUAGAUCCAUAAAGACUAAGAAAAAAAAAUCAAAAAGAAUCAUGCAAAAAUAGAUCUAAAAAAAUGCCAAUGGAAAAUAACUACUUUGGGAUAACCCAUAAUAACUUUGGACACUUUAUUUUGUUAUUUUUACGAUUUUAAUUGGUGUAAUUUUUUUUAGGAUUUAUUACUACACUUUUUUUUUAAAAAAAGUUAGUAGUUAGUAGCAUAGAGUUUGAUAGAUUUUAAACUCUUAGUUAAUUAAAAUUUAUAAUUUAAAUGAAUUAAUAUAUAUAACUAUAGAUGAUUUUUGCAUAUACAUACACCUUAUUUUGUUGUUGUUGGAUUUUAAUUUUAAGAUAAAUUUAGAUUUAAAUAUUCUAUUAUCUUAAUUAGGAAAAAAUAAAGAUAAAGUUAAUUAGUUAUUCUAGAAUCCUUCCGUUAUUUGAAGUCACAUAUAUACUAAAAUUUAUAUUUUUGCAUUUAUAUGUAAUUUGUAUUGUUUAUAACUCUUUAUAACUUAAAAUUUCUUUAUAAAUUAAAACUUCUCUAUCUAAUAUAUAAAGAGAGGGUCCCAUAGGAGAAAAAAAUGGUAAAACAUUACUUUUAAUAAUAUAUAUAUAUAUAUAUAUAUAUAUAUAUAUAUAUAUAUAUAUAUAUAUAUAUAUAUAUAUAUAUAUAUGAAUGAAUGAUUAAAACAUAACUUUCCAAGUUUACCCUUAUAAAUAUCUGAAAAUACCCAUAUUGUCCUUGGGUUAUCUACCAUCAAUAAACAUGCAAUCUUUUUUUUUUUUUUCUGUCUAUACAGAAAAAAAAGUAAACUCCAACAGAUUAUUUUUGCUUAGGGGUUCGAUCACCUACAAUUAUUCGUUCAACAAAAAAAUAAAAAGUAACCUAUAGGUAUAUCAAUUUGAUAUAUUAGAAUCAUAAACCAAAAAAACAAAAAUCCAACAAAUUAAUAUCCAAAGACACAAAUGCAAUAACAGAAAAACUCAAAAUAAAUACAUUUAAUAACGGUUCCAGUAAUCAUUUAACUCAGAAAAAUACAAAAAUCCAACAAAGCAAAGCAAAAAAUAAAUCUUCUAUAGGAAUGUGACUAAAGUCUCUAGUCAAAGAAUGUCAUAGUAGAUAUCCAACCUAGUUGACUGGAGAUCCCAAAAUCUAGGUUUAUAAGGAAUAACUAAAUAAUGGUGUACUCAGUGGUAUAAGCACAUAUGGUAGAAAAGAGUAAAACCUUUUUGUUCUACCUAUUCCUAUGAAGUAAUAACGUAUUGUCUGUAUGAGCAAUUAGGCUAAGUAUAGCUUUUAAUGACACUUGUAUAUUGAAAUAUUCAAGUGGAGUAUUGCAGAGUACUCUUAACAAGAUUUCACCUAUGUGUGUGUAAAUUGGGCUGUUCCUAUAAAAAUUUUGGGCUGAAUUCUCUAGAGCACUCAUGAAAACUAAGUAUUGUUAAGGACCAAAAUGAAAACAACCAUAAGAACUAAAAGUGUUCGAAGGGUUAUCGUGUGUAUAUUGUUGUCUUAGUUUACACUUAAAUCUAGACAGUUUAAGGGCGACAUGUUGCACUAUUUGGCGAGUAAAUCCGAUAAUAUGUCACUAAGGAAGGUUCAAAGCCGAAAGCUAUCUUUCUUGAUGUUGUAAUUCUCCAUUUCUUUCUCUCUUAAGAUCUAAACUUCAUUGCGUCUGUAAUCAAUCAAUUUCCAUUCAUGUGGGAGAUUGUUAGAAUUUGGAUUGAUUUAAAUGAGAAAUUAUUUCUCAAAGAAGCACCAAUUGCAAAG